ACCUUCAAGUAAUCGAGUGGGAAUAAGAGUAAAAAGGUAAGGAUUAAGAAAACAAAUAAUAUUUUCUUUCGAGGUGUCAAAGAUAUAUAUCAUUUGCUGGUUAACACUUCUUCUAUAAGCAACUCUUUAUUCUUUAUCUGGAUUUGGAAAUUGUAUGCUCCAUGAAAAUUAAAAUUUUGUCGUGAAAAUUGGUAUAGUUAAAGGACCCUUGUAAAUUAGUCCUCCGUAGAUUUGGAAUUAUUGGGGUCGAUUCUCAAUUUUAUAACCAUUGCCCAGGUCAAGUGGAGGACUGUAAGGAUACUAUUACAUCUUCUCCUUAUACUCUAUAAUACUGGUUGAGGCUAACGCAUGAUAGUAUUGUGAACUAUCAUCCUAUUCCUUUGCCAAUAUUAAUAGAUGUUUUGUCCUAUGCCUAGGUAGAGAAAGGAUAAAAGCAGCCAUAGCAUAUAUAGCAUGGUUUAUUUGGAAAGCUAGAAAUAAAAGGGUCUUUCAAGAUAUGGUUAAUCCACCUGCAAAUAUGGUAAAAGGAAUACUCUAUCUGUAUUCUGAUUUUAUUCAGAGCUAUUCACUGGUUGUUUUUAACUCUAUUACCAGGCA
rnacentral:lncRNA from 1 species